rnacentral:rRNA from 1 species
UACGGAGGAUCCGAGCGUUAUCCGGAUUUAUUGGGUUUAAAGGGUGCGCAGGCGGGAUGUUAAGUCGGCGGUGAAAUUUUGCAGCUCAACUGUAAAAGUGCCUUCGAUACUGGCUUCCUUGAGUGUAGAUGAAGUAGGCGGAAUUUGUGGUGUAGCGGUGAAAUGCAUAGAUAUCACGAGGAACUCCGAUUGCGCAGGCAGCUUACUAAACUACUACUGACGCUCAGGCACGAAGGCGUGGGGAUCAAACAGGAUUAGAUA